rnacentral:rRNA from 1 species
UACGGAGGAUCCGAGCGUUAUCCGGAUUUAUUGGGUUUAAAGGGUGCGCAGGCGGGAGAUUAAGUCGGCGGUGAAAUUUUGCAGCUCAACUGUAAAAGUGCCUUCGAAACUGGUUUCCUUGAGUGUAGAUGAAGUAGGCGGAAUUUGUGGUGUAGCGGUGAAAUGCAUAGAUAUCACGAGGAACUCCGAUUGCGCAGGCAGCUUACUGGGAUGCAACUGACGCUGAGGCACGAAAGCGUGGGUAUCAAACAGGAUUAGAUACCCCGGUA